GGAGUAUUUGCCCGACGCAAUCUCACAAGUGUGUUCAUAUAAUGUGGCAGAUAGGUCGAUGCCGUAACGAUCGGAUGAACUGAUCGGUUGGCAGACGCACAGGAAACUGUCGUCACCAAAGUUAUUAAGUCUGUAUGUUUUUUAUCUGUGCAGUGCACAGUUUAGCCUUUGCCUUUCUCGAUGUUUUUGAGAAGCGCGAGAUUAGAAUUUGGGGGCAUAGCUCAGUUGGUAGAGCGCCUGCUUUGCAAGCAGGAUGUCAGGAGUUCGAAUCUCCUUGCCUCCACGUAUUUCAAACCUGGAGACAGGGUUGCGCGUGAGCGCAGAAGGGUCUGUAGCUCAGUUGGUUAGAGCACACGCUUGAUAAGCGUGGGGUCACAGGUUCAAAUCCUGUCAGACCCACUUUUCCCGAUUGAGUCUCCCGUCUCGCUCUUUUGAUCAAAACCGAUCUUUGAUAACUGCAUAAAAUUACAAUAAUACUACAAAUUGAGUUUCAAAACUCAGCUGCUGCCAUUGGCAGUAGCAAUUAGAUAAAAAAGUUACUCUAACAGUGGGCAGGGAGAUAAGCACCCUGCCUGAAAGAUUUUCGAUUUUAAAAGAAAAGCUGGAACAAGCUGUUAAGAGCAUAUGGUGGAUGCCUUGGCAAGGGCGAAUUC
rnacentral:misc_RNA from 1 species